AUCAUGGCCCUUACGAGUAGGGCUACACACGUGCUACAAUGGCGUAUACAGAGGGAAGCGAAGCUGCGAGGUGGAGCGAAUCUCAUAAAGUACGUCUAAGUCCGGAUUGGAGUCUGCAACUCGACUCUAUGAAGUCGGAAUCGCUAGUAAUCGCGAAUCAGAAUGUCGCGGUGAAUACGUUCCCGGGCCUUGUACACACCGCCCGUCACACCAUGGGAGUGGGUUGUACCAGAAGUAGAUAGCUUAACCUUUUGGAGGGCGUUUACCACGGUAUGAUUCAUGACUGGGGUGAAGUCGUAACAAGGUAACCGUAGGGGAACCUGCGGUUGGAUCACCUCCUUACCAAAGA
rnacentral:rRNA from 1 species